UACGUAGGAGACAAACGUUAUCCGGAGUUACUGGGCGUAAAGGGCGUGUAGGUGGUUGCGUAAGUCUGGCGUGAAAUUUUUCGGCUUAACCGGGAAAGGUCGUCGGAUACUGCGUAACUAGAGGACGGUAGAGGCGUGUGGAAUUCCGGGUGUAGUGGUGAAAUGCGUAGAGAUCCGGAGGAACACCAGUGGCGAAGGCGACACGCUGGGCCGUACCUGACACUGAACCGCGACAGCAUGGGGAGCAAACAGG
rnacentral:rRNA from 1 species